UUUCGCCCUCAAAUCAGGUAGGACUACCCGCUGAACUUAAGCAUAUCAAUAAGCGGAGGAAAAGAAACCAACAGGGAUUGCCUCAGUAACGGCGAGUGAAGCGGCAAAAGCUCAAAUUUGAAAUCCUUCGGGAGUUGUAAUUUGUAGGUUGGGAGACCCCGCGGCUAGUGGCACCAAGUCCCUUGGAACAGGGCGCCUUAGAGGGUGAGAGCCCCGUAGGUACCACAAUACCGUCUUGUGUCUCCUCUCCAAAGAGUCGAGUUGUUUGGGAAUGCAGCUCAAAGUGGGUGGUAAAUUCCAUCUAAAGCUAAAUACCGGCGAGAGACCGAUAGCGAACAAGUACAGUGAUGGAAAGAUGAAAAGCACUUUGAAAAGAGAGUGAAACAGUACGUGAAAUUGUUGAAAGGGAAGGGCUUGCAAGCAGACACGGCCUUCGUGCCGGGCCAGCAUCGGUUGCUAGGGGUGGAUAAGGAACAAGGAAUGUAGCUCCUCGGAGUAUUAUAGCCUUGCGCGAUACACCCACUGGCGACCGAGGCCUGCGGUAUUCUUUACCUAGGAUGCUGGCGUAAUGGUUGCAAGCCGCCCGUCU
rnacentral:rRNA from 1 species